rnacentral:lncRNA from 1 species
AGGUUUUUUUAUAUUGCUAUUUUCAGUAGGGUCCAGUUUGUUUUUAUUUUUAUUUUUUUUGGACAGCCAAUAGGAAUUGGUCUUGAAUUGAAAUUAAUAACUCAUCUGAUUCGGUUCCAUUUGAAGUUUUGAACCUAAACUAAACUCUAAUUAAAGUUUCUCUCUCUUCUCUCUCUCAAAUCUUUUAGAGAGAGAAACUCUCUUACAAGUUCUUCGUUCAUCCGUCCGGUUAAUUCCGGCAAAGCCGUCCGGUGUGUUAUCUGGCAUCCGUCCGAUAUUUAUCGGCUAAUAUAGCGAUAAUUGAUCGGCUUUUGUCUAGCAUCGAUCGACUUUUUUAGGGACGAUGGCUAGCUUUGUUUUCUCUCCGGAUUUUGUCCGGUUUCUAAUCACGGUUACGUUUGUGCCGUUGAUUGUUUUUAGUUUGCGGCUCUUUGGAUCUGUGUUGGUGGUGGCGUUUGUGGCGAUUCUUCGUUCAAAAGUGUCUCUUUUCCGACUUGUCCUGGAGCAUGCGGUUUGCGAAAACCAUUUAAGAAAUUUGCGACUUCAGUUGAAGAUAUAAAGCAAUUUCCUCAGCUUAUUACGAUUGCCUUUAGCUGUUUCUUGUCUUUGAGCUUCGAUUGGUUUGGUCCACAGUUUGGAUUAAUCAGAUUUCUUAUUCUCUGUUACCCGUUGGAUCUCAAAAUUAUUUUUGAUGAUUCCUACAAAGGGUCGAGUUAAAUUGAUCUGUAUUUUAUCCUUAUGCUGUUUUGCACUUGCCGGUGAAAAACAGACGAAUCUAUCUUUGAUUUCAUCUUGAUGAUAGUUUCAUUCAUCGGAAGAAUCGGUGGCUCCGACGGCGAAGGAUGACGAUGGAAAUCUUUCAGUUGCUCAUUUUACGUGUGUCGAUUACACGUGUCUUUGAGUGGAAUUAUUUGACUCGAUCUUCUUCUUAAGCGGUGCAAUAUUGGGCUCAUGUUGGGCAUUAGUUGUUUUCGUAACCUGUUGUUUUUGUUGGGCUUUUGCCUUUGCUACUGUUUGUUAUGUUUCAUCUAAUAAAAUUGACACUUACGAGAAAAAAAAAAAAAAACCCUAUUGCAAAACAAAAAGACAAACAAAUCGAUCUCUAACUCUGAAAGAAACACUCGGAGAUGCAGACAAGAUCAUGGAAUCAGGUUUUAUCCGGUGUCUGGUCAGCCACCAUAGAUCUUCUCAGCCCUUUGGUACUAAGAGCAUAAAAUGCCCUUAUACUCUGUAAAUUCAACUUUUUGGGGGCAUGAUGUUCUUUGUUUUUCAAAAAAUAAAGAAGCACUUUAGUUUAAGUUGGUGUUUGUUGCAGGAUAACCUUUUGGAUGCUAAGUCUCUUUUAGCAGUUUGCUCAGUGUGGUAGUAACAAUGGUGAGCCAGAAGCUGUCAUAACAUAAGUAUAAGAUGAAAACUUUGAAAUC